UUACGAUGGGACAUUUUGAACUCCAAGGCGAUGCAUAUCAGCUGAAGAACAAGCGUAUACAGCAGGUGUGGUUGGCAUUGAACAAUUGCAGAACCGUAUGAGGUGACACCUGGAGGAAACUCUAGCCGGCAAUGGGACACAAAGACUAGAAACUUCUACGUUUACUUAAUUGCUAGAACAAAAUCGCCAUCUGAUGCCUUCACCACCAUCAGAGCCAUGAAUUGAAUCUGUAGCCUCUUCACUGCCUCAUUGAGAUUGUGGGCCAAUCAAGCUCUUUGUUGUAUGCAUAUAUACUUAUAGCCACUAUUGUAUGUCAAGGAUAACACAAUGGCCAAGUAAGUACAUAGUGACAGUUCUAGACAAUUCCUUAGUUUAUGUACGUAUGAGGACAUCGAAACCAGCGAGUUGACGUCCCAUACCGUUAUAUCUUAUUUUUCUCUAUUGUAACAAAGAGUAUUUAAAAUGUACUUAUCCAUCGACAAUUUCGAGCCUAUCCAAUAAAUGAUUUAUAUGUGUCAA